GGUCAGGGAUUUUUUCUACAUUCAAACGAAAACCGAACAGAACUGAACUGACCCAAUGGUGACCUGUCUAAUCCUGUUUGGACUCACAACAGUUCCUUGGCCGUCCCUCCCUGCCCCGCCCUGGAAAUGUUCCCCUGCUGGACGGCGUGUUCCUGGUUCCUGGUCUGGGCUCCUUGUGCAUGAACACUGGAUCGAUGCAGCAUGGAGGAGACCGGGCUGUUCAGG